rnacentral:lncRNA from 1 species
UCUACUUUUUGAUAUUAUGUUUUGUGCAAUCAAAAUUAUAAAAUAAAUACUAGAAAGUUAUUAGCAAUAAUUUUGGUACAUAAUAUUGCUAGAUUUGCAAGUUAACAAAAAUAUUAAUAGUAAACCUUUUUAAUUCACACGUACAUGUAUAUAUUAUUUACUAACAAUGAAACUACAACAAUUUUUGUUCUUUAACGCUUUAUUAUUAAGCAGCUGUGUAUUGGCGUUUAAAACGAAUGUCUCGUUUAUACUUACUGAAACAAGUGCAUCCCCUAAUGAAGAGACAAGCUCUGAGCAAGCAACAGUUAGCAGAAGUACAAACUUGCUUUUUACGAAUAAAAAUGAUUUUUUAGAAACAUCUGAAAAUAUGUGUGCUUUGGAGAGAGACGUGUCAUUCAUAUAUUUUGCACAAAUAGAAAAUUUAAGUGAAAGUGUAAAGCUUAGGACUAUACAUGACGUUUUAUCUGGUAAAUCUAUUGAUAAAGAAGAUUAUGAUAGGGAUAGUGCUGCAAUAAUCAAGGAUAUCAAAAUUUCAAUUAAACAUUUAUUACAAAUUAGAAAUAUUUUUUAUGCUGAACAUAAAAUUAAUUCAAUGGGGUAUAGAAUAUUUCAACGUAUAAUUAAUUUUCUUGUAUUUUAUAAUGGAAGGAUAUCUUUAAAUGGUUUAUUUUUGAGAGAAAUAAGGCACACAAGAUUUUGGUUACAACAAAUAUCGAGCACAUUAGGUAAUAGGAAUUUGAAUAUAAUGGACUAUUACAAAAAAAUUAGAGAAAGAAUUGACAAUGAUAAUAUAAUUAAAGAUGGGUGGGAUGAAAAAAGAAUUCAUAAUAUUGCAUGUAGAAUAUUGCAAUUUUUAAGUGACUUGGUUUUUGUUGAUUCUUCUGCUUAUAGGAAUUUAGUACAAAUUCUAUAAAAGCACUACGAUGAAGCAGAAGCGGGAUAAAAAUGAAAGACGGGACAAAACGAAUAAUAAGAAAGAAAAAAAAUGACAUAAUGUCAUUUUAU